rnacentral:rRNA from 1 species
CAUGUCUUUUUGAUUAUAAUUUAAAGUCUGACCUGCCCUAUGAAUUUUUUAAAUGGCCGCGGUAUUUUGACCGUGCAAAGGUAGCAUAAUAAUUAGUUUUUUAAUUGGGAACUGGUAUGAAUGGUUGGACGAGAAAAUUACUGUCUUAAUUUAAUUUAAAUUAGAAUUUUAUUUUUAAGUAAAAAAGCUUAAAUAAUUUUGAAAGACGAGAAGACCCUAUAGAGUUUUAUAUUAUUUAGUAUUUCAAUAAAAUUUUUAGUAUUUUAAAUUUAAUUAUAUUAAAUUAUAUUUAGUUGGGGUGACUGAAAAAUUUAAUUAACUUUUUUUUAAUAUAUAAAACAUUAAUUUAUGAAUAAAUGAUCCAUAUAUUAUGAUUAUAAGAUUAAAUUACCUUAGGGAUAACAGCGUUAUUUUUUUUGAGAGUUCUUAUCGAAAAAGAAGUUUGCGACC